ACAGCAAAUAAUCUCGAGGGGUUAUCCACUGGGUUCCUUAGGUGAAGUUGUUUUCGCAAGGUGUUUUAUAAAAAGACGCUGGGCAUCGUCCGCAACCUGCAAGAUCUCGCGCUCCGCCGGUGCCGAAAAUUAACAUUUAAUUAUCCUGUAAGAGUCCAAGGCGAUACGGCAAAGGGUCCCGGUGCUUUCUUGAACUUAAAAACCCGAAGGGAGCUUUUAAAGGAUGCAUCAAGUCAAUCCACAGCCGACGCACAAAGCCAGCGGCUGCAAAUGCGCUCGAGACCCACCGGCGCGGAGAAAACGCGUUCAGCAGAUUUAACGGAGCCGCAGUGGAAUCUCCAGCGGAAACACACGGCGUGGAGCCUUGUAGUGGGCACUGGUGCGUGAAAAAGCAGGCGUGGACUCCCACGGGAUCCCGGAUUUUUUUGGCCCGGGAAAGUCAAAAAUCACGGCGUUUGAGUGUGAAUUUGGCACGGUACAGUCAGCAGUUCUCCCGUCACAGAAACAGAGUGUCUCCACCCUACGGUCAUGUUCCUGGAAAAUUUAGCCAUGGGGGCAGAGAAACAGAGGCGGGACACUGGGGCUGUCAAUCAAAAUGACCCAGAGGACACACAGAGGCAACACCUCGCUGCAUGUAGGACAGUUGUCACCCAAAGUGAUUGGAUUGUUUCCCAAAUGUUCUCAUCCUAAAAAGGUUUAACAAAUCCAUGUUGUUCAGUGCAGACACAUUUAUUCAAAGCAACUUGCAAUGCACUGCAGCAAAUUGGUCUUUAUUUCAUCUUUGUGUCACUGCUGAGUAAUUUAUGCUCACUAAGGCUGCAUGCAUUUGAUAAAAAAUACAGUAAAAACAGUUAUAUUGUGAAAUAUUAUUAUCAUUUAAAACAAUUGCUUUCUGUUUGAAUAUUUCUGGCUCACAUAUGGUUGCAGGUAAUCCACGAAAAUGUUCAUCUUUUUCAAGCUGGUUUGAGGGCUGUAACACACAAAUGAUUUCAAAGACAGGAAGCUGUUGUAUUGAGGUCAAACCAGCUUAAAAAUAUGUUUGAAGUCAGCAUGGAUUCAGUAUGGCUCUGUUUACUCUCUUAAUACACACUCCUGACCACAUUGUGCAUGAUUUAUCCAAAAUGCUAUUAAAAACUAAUAAAUGACUUUCUUACAAGCAAGCAGCUUUUCACUUCUCUAGAUGUUAACUGAUGGACUGUGGAUUAUUGUCAUGUUUUUUAUCAGCUGUUUGGACUCUCAUUCUGACGGCACCCAUUCACAUCCAUUGGUGAGCAAGUGAUGCAAUGCUACAUUUCUCCAAAUCUGUCAUAUAUAUAUAUAUAUGAACAUCAUGAUGAAACAUAUAAGCUUCUAAAACUUUUUUU
rnacentral:lncRNA from 1 species